GAGCAGUUCCUAGAGUCCACAGCGACCCAGCUCUCCUAUCACGGUCUGUGUGAACUCAACACGACGGCCAAGGAGGGAGAGAUCUCUGUGUUCUUCAGAAACAACCACUUCAGUACCAUGAUCAAACACAAGAGUCCAGAGGUGGUGGCUUCUGUGGGGAAACUGAGCUACAACCAGCUGGUGGAGAAAAUCAUCGACUACAAACACUCAGCAGACAGCAGCCGAGUCAGUGAAGGUCUGGUAGCAGAGCAGUUCCUAGAGUCCACAGCGACCCAGCUCUCCUAUCACGGUCUGUGUGAACUCAACACGACGGCCAAGGAGGGAGAGAUCUCUGUGUUCUUCAGAAACAACCACUUCAGUACCAUGAUCAAACACAAGGUGGAGACACACACACACACACACACACACACACACACACACACACACACACACACACACACACACACAGUUUAAAUGUAAAUCAGAUUCAGUAUGUGUGAUGAACCUGCUGACAACAACACAACAUUGUUUCAUCACAAUUCAAGAAGUCAGAGAAGUUUUAAGGUUCAGCCUCAAAUCUCACAUUCCCAAAAUAC